ACUCAGUGCAGAGGGAAAUUGACACAGCCAUGAUGAGGCCUGGCUCACAAGAGCCAUAGUUACUGUAGGAGUUUCUGUGGCUGAAUAUGCUUAGCUAUUGAGGCAAGGACAUGUGCUGGAUGUGUAUGCAGUCUUUGAAGCUGGAGAGGCCUGUGUUGGAAACUGUGCUCUGUCCCAUACCAGUUCCCUGACCUUGGAACCCCUAGAGCAAUCAACAGACAGACAGAGCCCUGCUUCACGGAGCGUCUGCUCUCUCCUGGAGCUCACACGCUGAAACAGACAGGAUGCAACACCUCAGGGUUGUUGGAGAACCAGAGGCUGUUGCAAUUAGGAUGGCGAAUAGUGAAAAACAGUGUGGUUGAAUUGAACAUAAGCUGAAGGGCUAGACAUCAUGGCUUCAAUCCUUGUGGAGGAGCCUUCAUCUACCACAUAAGAAUUCCAGCAAACCCUGCAGCUAUCCUGAAGCUGUCAUGCUGGAAAGGCCAAUUGGGAGACCACAUAGAGACCGAGAGAGACUUCCAAGGACUCCAGCCAAUCCUGGGCCCCAGCAAUUUGAAUCUCCCAGCAAUGCCACCAUACAGGAGAGGGAGCAAAUACUCAGAAGAUUCAAGUGCCAGCUGCACGGGUUGAUACCUACAUAAAAGGCACUGGGUAUGUGCUCUUGGGUGAUUCCCCUAAUCAUAGUGGAAAGAUGGGAGCUGAGACUCUAAGACUGUAAGUAACUUGGCCAAGACUUAUGGCUUGAUACGGAUCUUCUAACUCAAAAUCGUGUGUUCUUCUCACUACCCAAUUAUUGCUUCACACUUCAUCAUUUUGCAGAUGACUGUGUGUUGAUGAGAGGCUGCCAUAAUUUGAAGUCAUUAGAACAAUGAAAUAGUAUCUGCACAUAUGCACAGUCCUCGGAUGCGAUGGGCAUUCCCUCAAGCUGCAGUCCAGCAGGAAAUUAUCAGUGCUAGAAGAGUUAAACUGUAAGCUGACUUGAGAUGUAGUAGUUCAAAACCCUUGCCAAUAACUCUUUAUUAUGUGCAGCAUUUUCAAAGCAAAAUUACAACAUGUUAGAAAGUGAAUGAGGCAAAUUACUGGUGAUGUCAUCAAAGUAAUAACUGCUAAUGACCCUUUUACUCCUGGGCAUUGCCUGAGGCCACAUUGACAGGAAGAGCAGAUCUGCUUUCUGUGAAUCCAUUUGGAUUAUCUAGAAGGCAUCCUGAAAGUUGUGAAAACAUAAUGUGAGAAAAUGAUAGAUCAAAGUGUGAAUACAAUGCAGGGACAACAGAAAGGAAAAUGUACUCUCUGUUGUGUAAUGGGUAUUUUGGCCAGAGUUUGAAGAGCUUUAUUAAGGAGUGACAACAAACAUAUAUUUAAAUGAUGACAUUUCCUCCAAAAUAAAAUAAACAAAUAAAUAUGUAGAAUUUAAAACUUUUUUGUUUCCAUGAAAGAGUUUGGAAUACCCUUCCAAACUCUCCUCAUUCAUUGAGACGAUGGAUCUCUUGUUACUAACCGAGACACUGAAUUUUGAGGUGACACAUCCUGUUCUGGAGGCAGAAACAUUGCCAGCACUUCUCCUUCAGCAGUUGAUUUAUUAUGUGACAGUUGGUGAUGAGUUUGUCCUCAUGAAGAUGCUCCCUCCCACGGACAGCCGUAUCAUACUUGAGGCCUCACUGCCACUUACCCAGGCCACUGCAAUAGCCCCUUCGUUGUCAUCUGGUUAAGAACUAAGGUUCUUCCUUAACCAGUCCAUUCCCCUGACUUCCACAGAGAAACCAUUCUAUAAACUGCUCAUCUGUCAGCUUUUCACCAGCUCAAAAACCAUUCAGAAUCCCACACCUUCUCCCACUGUCCACAGAAUAUUGUCAGUACUCCUUCUAAGAGAAUUCAAAGCAACAUGACAUCAUCCUAUAUUUCUAGCCUUACCUAAUAAAUAUUCAUACCGACUACCUACUGCUUUCUAUACAGGGAAACAUUUCAAGGCCUCCGAGGUCUGCUUGGAAUUCUCCCAUCCACCAUCAUUUCUGCUGCCUAUUAAUAUUCCACCUAUAAUUUAUUCACCAAAUAGUCCUUGAAUGAGGGCAAGGUGUCAGAUACCUCAGUUCCAAGGUCCUUUCUUUUGUGAAGCUUUUCUUGGAAGCUCCCCUUUCUGAGCUCACACUCUAAUUGGGACAUUAUUUAAUUAUAGUCUGUAUUGAAC
rnacentral:lncRNA from 1 species